rnacentral:rRNA from 1 species
GCGUGAUCGAUGAAGGCCUUAGGGUUGUAAAGAUCUUUCAGCUGGGAAGAUAAUGACGGUACCAGCAGAAGAAGCCCCGGCUAACUCCGUGCCAGCAGCCGCGGUAAUACGGAGGGGGCUAGCGUUGUUCGGAAUUACUGGGCGUAAAGCGCACGUAGGCGGAUCAGCAAGUUAGGGGUGAAAUCCCGGGGCUCAACCCCGGAACUGCCUUUAAAACUGUUGGUCUGGAGUCCGAGAGAGGUGAGUGGAAUUCCGAGUGUAGAGGUGAAAUUCGU